UCGUGGGGGGGUAGUGUAGCGGUAAGCAAAACUCUUUGCGCCGGGUAUAGGCUACGGCGGUUGCGAUGGUAACCGGGUUGUUGAUGUCAGGAGAACGUCAGGUAGUAAAAUAGGAGAUUUUACAAUAUAUGUAUAUUAUAUUUUAUUCAAACAUAGGCCUCCAAUGAUUAAUACUAACGGGUAACGGCCUGCAUCCAGCGCCUUCCUUCUACCUUUAUGCGGUCGUCGGUCCACCUUGUCGCUUGGAGGCAUUACCACGGAAUAAUAAAUGUAACGGCACCCUCAUUGGCGCUAGUGCGAACGUUGUUUGCGCAGGAGUGGCCGAGCAACAUGGCUACCGGUUCACGUUCGUCCAAUACCUCAAAGUAGGGUUCCCCAUCAUGAUUGGAAACCUUUUAGUCGCGUCAGUGUACUUGCUGAUAUGUCAUUGUGCUUUCACGUGGCACUGAUAUUGACUUAUUUGACUUAAGGUCCUAUGUCCCCUAGAUGGGGCAGAGGGCGUCCACAACAGUCCUCCAUCGCGUUCGGUCUUGAGCUUCGCGCUUGAUCUCGCUCCGGGUCUUGCCGCUUUUCUUCGCCUCGGCACUGAUAU